rnacentral:rRNA from 1 species
UGGGGAAUAUUGCACAAUGGGCGCAAGCCUGAUGCAGCAACGCCGCGUGAGGGACGACGGCCUUCGGGUUGUAAACCUCUUUUAGUAGGGAAGAAGCGAAAGUGACGGUACCUGCAGAAAAAGCACCGGCUAACUACGUGCCAGCAGCCGCGGUAAUACGUAGGGUGCGAGCGUUGUCCGGAAUUAUUGGGCGUAAAGAGCUCGUAGGCGGUCUGUCGCGUCUGCUGUGAAAACCCGAGGCUCAACCUCGGGCCUGCAGUGGGUACGGGCAGACUAGAGUGCGGUAGGGGAGAAUGGAAUUCCUGGUGUAGCGGUGGAAUGCGCAGAUAUCAGGAGGAACACCGAUGGCGAAGGCAGUUCUCUGGGCCGUAACUGACGCUGAGGAGCGAAAGCGUGGGGAGCGAACAGGAUUAGAUACCCUGGUAGUCCACGCCGUAAACGUUGGGCGCUAGAUGUGGGGACCAUUCCACGGUUUCCGUGCCGCAGCUAACGCAUUAAGCGCCCCGCCU